GCCGGGCACGGUGGCACACACCUGUAGUCCCAGCUACUUGGGAGGCUGAGGCAGGAGGAUCGCUUGAGCCCAGGAAUUCUGGGCUGUAGUGCGCUAUGCCGAUCGGGUGUCCGCACUAAGUUCGGCAUCAAUAUGGUGACCUUCCGGGAGCGGGGGACCACCAGGUUGCCUAAGGAGGGGUGAAAUGGAGCAGGUCAAAACUUAAGUGAGAAUAAUGUGCUCACAUGUAUUGUUUUUAAGGCACUUCUUCCUUAGCAUUUAUUCAUAUAUUUAUUAUGUAUUUU
rnacentral:SRP_RNA from 1 species